UACGUAGGGGGCAAGCGUUGUCCGGAAUCAUUGGGCGUAAAGAGCGUGUAGGCGGCCAGGUAGGUCGGUUGUGAAAACUGGAGGCUCAACCUUCAGAGGUCGACCGAAACCAUCUGGCUAGAGUCCGGGAGAGGAGAGUGGAAUUCCUGGUGUAGCGGUGAAAUGCGCAGAUAUCGGGAGGAACACCGGUGGCGAAGGCGGUUCUCUGGGCCUGUACUGACGCUGAGGAGCGAAAGCGUGGGGAGCGAACAGG
rnacentral:rRNA from 1 species